UCCCCGAUAGCUCUGUUGGUAAAGAAUCUGCCUGCAAUGCAGGAGACCCUGGUUCGAUUUCUGGGUUGGGAAG
rnacentral:tRNA from 1 species